AUGAGCUGUGAGAUGUUGCCUGAGUCCUCAGGAGGGAGCGCCAGCUGCUGCAUGUUCAUGUGCUGUGUGGACACAAUGGAGGAACGAUCAUCCUCAAGCAUCUGUAUGAAAAGAUGUGCAAGCAUAGAUCUGACUCACAGGCAAGGCAGGCUCUGUGUCCUGAGCUUUGCGUUUCUGUGCGCGGUGUCCAGAAGGAGGAGGCAUGACUGACUCAUCAAGAGUUGUGCGACUGCCCUCCAUGGCUGAGGCCUGUAACACACUGGGUUCCUCCAAGAUGGUCUGGUCUGCAAAAAGCCAAGCAUGGGCAUUAGUGACAUAACUUCUAUCUAAAAUACAUUAUCAAAUGGACUCUUCUCGUGGCACCUCUGGGUUCUCCAAGUCUUUGAGAAACUCAUCCAGGCUGUCGGCUUCUCCACCCUUCCUCCUCUUCCUCAGUUCAUCAGGCACCAGAGGGGUCAGGCAGCGAGUGAACAUCUGCAUAAAGG